rnacentral:lncRNA from 1 species
CCCGGGUUUCCUGCAUUGCAGGCAGAUUCUUUACUGUCUGAGCCACCAGGGAAGCCACCUUUUAUUUGAUGCUCAGGCAUUAAGGAAAGCUUGAGGAUCUUUCAGACUAGGCUGACUGUCCUGCCUGUUCUUGUAGCGAACUCUGCCUACCUGAUACAAAGCACCACACCCCCAUCGCCCCUCUGCUGGGCUGCGUGCUCUAUGGUAGCAGAGCUGGGAGCUGGUCAAUGCCAUGUCCUCUGGCAUGUGGGAAGCAAUAACUCAAGCUUUGUUUGAUGAAGACGGGAGACAACCAGGAUGUUCAUGCCCCUGACUCAAAUGUCAACGCUAAUUCUCUAAGUGAUUUUUGGCAACAUUUUUUCAAAUGUAAUCCUGGGAGCCCUGGAACCUCAAAUCCUAGCUCUCUGAGGAGAGUCCAGCUUCUUCCAUCAACAUGGACCUCAGGACCCUGGUGUGAGAAAGGGCCUGGAAGAUAAGCCUAGACAUCUCCAACUGGAACUCGGGAUGAAUUCUCCCAUAGACCUACCUGUGAAUGGUGCCUGGCAUGGUCAAGGCUGAGACAACUAAAUGUGUGUUUUGUAUACACCCUCUAUGAAUCUGUGCUGGAUUGCCAAAAUAUGGAAACAUAAGUAGAAACACCUAGAGAGUGCCUGACCUUGUGAAAAAGACCUAUAAUUCCAAUUAAUAUUUUUUAAAGCCUAAGUUUGACUCCCCAAAACCUUUUCUCUACAGUAUCUUGAACCAUACAGCAUUCGUUCUAUUGACUAAGUUCAGCUGACGCAAAGCAAGAACGGAAGAAAGCAGUGGUGAUGGGGUGACUCAUCGGCCUUCAGUGGAGGCAAUUAUGUCGGGCACACAGAGUCUGUGGGAGCUGCCCUUCCACCGAGGGAGAGACAAAGCGCAGGGCGUCUCAGCACCGAGGGUCUGUGUCUGUCCACGCAGCCAGCGGCCCCGUGUAGGAUGGGAGUCACGAAGCUCGGCCGGUAGAGACUUCAACAGCUAUAAAGAGACACUAGCCGGCCACCCGUGCAGCGUUCCUUUGUGGCAGACAAUGGCACUUGGGAAAUGCCACACGCAUUAG